UAUUGCUUCAGGGCAGUGUUAGAGAUUGCCUUCUUCCAUAAAUCAUAAUAGUAAAGGUAAUAAAGAGGGAUUUUGUCUAGUUGUUCUUAGAGGAUCCUACCUAUCUAAGCAAUAGCGCCUGUUUUUUGAAGAUGUAUGUUUUUUUUUUUUUCUGCUUCAGUACCGGCAGAUCCUCUUUGAACUGUUCAAGAAGAACUACCGGGUCCGGAGGACUCUGGUGCAUAGUCGUCUCACUCAGGAACUGGGCGACAACGUCACCAAAGCGGACGUGGACCGGCUGCUCAAGGACUGCUGCGCCAGCCAGGGAGGCAUGUGGUAUCUAAAAGGAACCAUGCAGUCGUGACGAUGGGGGGUGGAGCCCCGACGGGCUCUGUCAAUCAACACCGCCUUCUGCAGAGCCUGGUGAGAGAAGCCUCGGCCUGGGGGAGGUGAAGCAGAUUGUGUGUGUGAACCAAUCACUGACCUCCUGCCGUCUCUGGACAAGCCUGUGAUUGGGUGAUUGAAGAGGUCCAUCAUUUUUUGCUCCCGGAGAUGUGCUUUUGUUAAUGCAGACGAACACGUAGCCAGGUUCAGACAUAAAAAAAUGCUGUGAGUCUGAGCUCAACCCCAACACCUCGCUUUAUUCACGUCAAUUAAAAGGGCUGGAGCAUUGGAGCCAAGCAAGUACAUGAAGGGAAUGAACUGGUGGCAGACAUGGAGUUGGUUUGAAUGAUACUGUAUACUUAAUUUUUUUUUCCUUUAAAUUAAAUUUAGAAUAGUGUUUAUAAUAAUGAAAGGCAAAUACAGUUCAGAAUUCUUCGAGGUUAAAUCAGAUUUGUGGCCUUUUGCAGGUGGAUAAAAAAAGUGACAUUACACAAUUCCUGUUUCCUUUUGUACAGGCCUUAAGUAGGAACUAUGUUCUUGGUAUGUGUUAUUUUUUUUAUUAUUAUAAUUUUUUGUUUUGUCCCUUGGUUUGUUUUAGCGAUGGAUUGCAGUUGAAUUGUGCAAGGGUUUAAGGAGCUGGUUACUUGACAGUUGUUUUCAGUGUGUUACACUUUCCAUGAUGCAUAUGCAAAAAAAAAAAAAAGAAUUUACCUUACUACUCCGAGUGAAAAAGGCAUGGAAGAACUGGCUGAAAUUUGUCCAUGCUUUUAAACUAAUAAAAAAAGAAACGAAAACAAAA